UGUCUUUUUGAAAAAAAUUUAAAGUCCAAUCUGCUCACUGAUUUAUUAAAGAGCCGCAGUAUUUUGACUGUGCAAAGGUAGCAUAAUCAAUAGUUUCUUAAUUGGGAACUUGUAUGAAAGAUUAGAUGAAAAUUAUAUUUUCUUUAUUUUAAUAAAUUUAAUUUUAAUUUUAAGUGAAAAUGCUUAAUUUUUUUUAAUAGACGAGAAGACCCUAUAGAUUUUUAUUAUUGAAAUAAAUUUAAUAUAUUUAUUUAGUUAAAUAAUUUGGUUGGGGUGAUUUUGUAAUAUAAAUAACUUAAUUUUUUUUAACCAUAAAUAAUUGAAUUUUUUGAUCUAAAAUUUUUAAUGAAUAGAUUAAAUUACCUUAGGGAUAACAGCGUAAUUUUAUUUAAGAGUUCAUAUCUAUAAUAAAGUUUGCGACCUCGAUGUUGAAUUAAGAUAAUAUAUUGGAGUAGAAAUUAAUAUAAUUAGUCUGUUCGACUAUUAAAUUCUUACGUG
rnacentral:rRNA from 1 species